GUCCAGGCAGAUGUCGUUAUUCACAGCAGGGUUGGGGUACUUGGGGUACCGCGCUAGGAAUUUGUGGCAUAGCAACCCCAAGCUCUUCUCCUUCCGACUCGGCUGGGAUUUCUCAAAUUCGUCUCCUGAUAAGUGUUCCUGCAGAGGGAAAGGUAAAUAAUGUCUCAUUCUGGAAUAGAGCAUGACAGAUUUAUUGGGGGGCCUCUGUGCUAGAUGACUAACUCCUCUUACCCACACAUGCACGCGGUUUGAACAGCUGCAACAAAGUGGGAGGGGAAUAGGAAUGGUCUUAAGGCCUGGGAUAAAGAUCACUCAUAGAGUACAAUUCCCGGUGUUGUGCUCCAAAGCUACAAACUCUUCCCAUGUUCAGCAGGUCAACAGCCUUCCAACAGCUCCGGGCUCCACACUGACCGUCCCUUCAUCCACAAGCCCCCAAACGCCACCCAGCCUCCCUGUAAACCUACGUGCAAACAGUCUCUAGCUUCAGGUAAUGCACUUCGGUUGUCAGACAGGCCCCUUUUCUGAUCUCGACUUCGGAUCUCGGGGCUCACGGCGCUGAUGAGCAUUUUCAGGUUGGCUGUGGGUGUCCAUGGCUCUCCUUGGGAGACUUCCUUGGGCUUGGUUGGUGUGGUUAGAGGGCCCAAGUCAGGCUGGAUCUCAGCCAACACCAUGUUGGCCUUCGAGGACGGAUGCAGGGGGCUUUUCAUCAGUCCCCUUUUAUGUGGCUCAGAAAAGAGGUUUUCCUGGUUUAAGAGGAAUUAAUAACUGAGUUCAUUGUAAAACAGAACCUAGCAGAAAGGCUUUCUGCCUUUCAUAUUGACCAAGUAGGUUAAGAAUAUCACAGUGAUCUCUGGACAGUAUUUUCCUUUUUUGCUUGAGACAAGGUCUCACUAUACAUUCCAACCAGUCUGGAACUUACUAUGUAGUAACAAGCUGACCCUAAAUUAACAAUCCUCCUGCCUCUGCCUCUGUUGUGAUUACAGGCAUGUCCCCUGCUACUACGGUAAAUUUAAUAGUUAAACUUCCCACUUUUAACUUGGUAGAUACUAUGGAUCUAAAUGUCUUCACCAUGUGAUCUAAGAAUUUACAUUAAUAAAUAAAUAACAUUAACUACA
rnacentral:lncRNA from 1 species